rnacentral:rRNA from 1 species
CCUACGGUGAGCAGCAGUGAGGAAUAUUGGUCAAUGGGCGCGAGCCUGAACCAGCCAAGUAGCGUGAAGGAUGACUGCCCUACGGGUUGUAAACUUCUUUUAUAAAGGAAUAAAGUGAGGCACGUGUGCCUUUUUGUCUGUACUUUAUGAAUAAGGAUCGGCUAACUCGGUGCCAGCAGCCGCGGUAAUACGGAGGAUCCGAGCGUUAUCCGGAUUUAUUGGGUUUAAAGGGUGCGUAGAUGGGUUGUUAAGUCAGUCGUGAAAGUUUGCGGCUCAACCGUGAAAUUGCAAUUGAUACUGGCAGUCUUGAGUACAGUUGAGGUAGGCGGAAUUCGUGGUGUAGCGGUGAAAUGCUUAGAUAUCACGAAGAACUCCGAUUGCGAAGGCAGCUUACUAAACUGCCACUGACGUUGAUGCUCGAAAGUGUGGGUAUCAAACAGGAUUAGAUACCCGAGUAGUC